rnacentral:rRNA from 1 species
GUCUAUGGGCAUACCACCCUGAAUGGGCCCGCUCUCAUCUGAUCUCAGAAGGUAAGCAGGGUUGGGCCUGGUUAGUACUUGGAUGGGAGACCGCCUGGAAAUACCAGGUGCUGUAGGGU